GGUAGGGGCUAUGUUUAGACCUUGGCAGUAACUCUGGGUUUGGUUGUAGCUGUCCAUCGUCGGGACGACGAUGCAAAAUCCUGGGGUAGAUUAUAAUGAGGUGGAGCUGGAGGGUGCGAUCUGGUUGGGGCAUGGUAAUUUCAUUAACCUGAUUGCUUAAUUGUUGCAGCCAGCACGCGUAUAUAGGACCCGGUUGUGGUUGCGUGUGUGUGACUGAUUUGUAAGCGUGACGUGACUCUCCGUGCGCCAGUAUCUCCUUUUCCGGAAGUUGUGGCUAUAUCCAACGCUGCAGUGGAUCGCGACUUGGAGUGUCCCGGACCGAUGUGAGCCAGACCAUCAACGGGAUACUAAGUCACUACAAUUGCUGCUGUUUUGCCCGGAUGUUUUAUGUUUUGUUUCAUGUUUUAAUUGGUUUUAAGUAUUAAUGUGUUUUAUUGAUUGAAUGUAAAUUGGGGGGGUGUCGUUGGGAAGGCUUGGUGCUGGGCGGUGAGGAUCCGUGUCGGGCGAUACCGCGCUGCGUGGUCGCGUUGCUUUCUUUUAGCCCACCCCUUGGGUGGAUGUACGUGCGUCAUGUACUGCGGGACCCCUCAGAGUGUUUGACUGUACGCCUCCCAUUCCCCUCCCGAUAACAGCUCCCUGGUUUGGGUUUUCUCUUUUGUCGUGUGAUUGGAGUGUUUUAAACAUGAUUUGAUUUGUAUUUGUGCUGUGAUUUUGGUUUUUUUGUGUUUUUAUUUAGAGUGUGAAUAGCCAACAGCCUAAUAAAGGGAGUGUUUAUGGUC